GGACGUGCGGGCGAUCUGUCUGCAACAUCUGUCACCCCAUUGAUCGCCAGGGUUGAUUCGGCUGAUCUGGCUGGCUAGGCGGGUGUCCCUUUCCUCCCUCACCGCUCUAUGUGCAUCCCUCCCGAAGCUGUGUGCUCUGUCAAAGAGGAUGAGCUUCCCCGAUAGAGGAGGACUGUUCUUUGGUCAAGGGUAUACGAGUAGCUGCGCUCCCCUGCUAGAACCUCCAAACAAGCUCUCAAACUUCACAUGGUUAAAACUGAGCUUAUUUUGUGCAACACCUGCUUUCCUGUCAGUCUUU
rnacentral:snRNA from 1 species